AAUUGUACUUCCGCAUAUUUUUAUAUAUGUUAGUGCGGGAUAGUAUAAAAAGUGAUGUACAUGCUGUCUUAAAACAGUUGAGUGUACAUUUGACCAGUGGUCAGUACAGUAUCUCUGUCUGUGUGACAGCUGAAGAUCUUUGUGGUCUGUCGUGUAAUUAUUUUAUUAUUCUGUACCUGGGACGGCCUGUAAGUGUAGAAAUAUUUUAUAUUUUCUUUUACUAGAUCUAUGUCACACUGUGUAAAUAUGCUAGAUAUAUUUAAAUUUAGUUUUAUUUUCUAGUUGGCAGCUUUUGUUUUGAGCAUGUUGAUUUAAAGAUAGCGGCGCCCAUUAGUCCCGCUAUGAGUGUUCUAGAUCUAAUAGAAUAUAUGAUUUUGUAUUUAUAGUUUUGCAUUUAUGUAUUGCAGGCUAUUAUUACUGCUGAAUAUAACUGCUGUGUUACUGCUGAACUAUAUGCUGCUAUUUUUACUGCUAUUACUCUGCUGUGCUAUAACUGCUAUCUGCUGUAGAUCUAGUGUUAUUUUGUUUCUGUAGUGUUGCCUUAGUCGGCUUAGUUAGUGGCUUAUUUAUAUUAAGUUAUAGUGACAGUAAGUCUGUUCUUAGUGAAUAGUAAGAUCUAUUUUUAGCGGCCCCCAAAGGGGAAUAGCCGCUAUUAGUUUUGUUUAGUCUGUAUGUUCGUCAGUCCGCCCCGUUUAGAUCGCAGAAACUAGAAGAGAAAAUGAAAAUCGGACAUUAUGAUAUUUUAGAAUAUUCAAAGUUCUGACGCAACGGCUACUUUUUCUUUUCCGAAAGUGAACCAUUUAGUUUUAAAAAUUAUCUAUGCAAAAGAUUUUUGAAAACAAAAUCACCACUUUUAAAUGAAAAACUUCAGGGAAGGUAAAUUUUUAUCUUUCAAAAAUGUGACAGGCUUCUUCACAUAGACAUAGGACUCCAGAAUGGACAAUAAAGAAGGUAUUAUCAAUGGAAACAUUUGAAAAAAAACAUGAAUUAUGAGUAAUGAAUUAUACAGCAGUUAUGAACAGUAUAAAAGUAUUUUCAACAAAAAAAAAAAUUAAUAUAUGUUUGAAAUGGACAAAUGCAAUUAGAAAAAGAAGAAAAAGAGAACCCUGAAGAAUAUGAUGUUUCUCACAGUACAGUUUUACAUGAAAGGCAUAAACUAAAUCCAAUGAUUGACAAUCUUGAGCCUAAGAUAUUAAACACAAGUGAGGUAGCUCUACUGCUGAAGACAGGAGAUAAACAUAUUUGCAAUUUUAAAAAAAUACAAUUCAAUUUACAGAGCAUAGUCUAGAAUUUGAAUUGAAACAAAGACUUGAACUUAGGCUGCAUACAUGUGAGCAAUUAAAAAAAAAGAUAUUUAAAUCAUUGAGAUAAAUGAAAAAAAAAAGAGCUGUCUCAGCCCAGCUUAUUGUACACAGCACAAAGCUCAAAAUUGGAACCAGUGAAAUCUGCCCAUGUGGAGUAUCGCCAGAGAAUGCCGACCACGUCCUCCAAAACUGAUUUCUUUAGCAAGAGGCCCCAAAACACCCCAAUAGAAAGAAAACUAUAUGGAGAGCUCCCUGAUUUGGAAACCACUACGCAGUUCAUCUCAUGUAUUGGUCUAGUCAUAUGAACGCUCCAACAUAACAAUAAGAACGAAGAAGAAGAAUUGAGAUAAAUGGAAAAAAAAUGAGCAGUCUCAGCCCAGCUUAUUGUACACAGCACACCACUGUGCUGACACUGAUCCGUGCACCGCACAAAAUUUAAAAAUUCCACUCAGCCAUCCAUGGUAUCUUAGAAAUUGAGCCGCAUAUUGGAAUCAAUGGUUAAUCAUGAAAGUCUGUGGCGACUUCAAAUCAUCGUUAAUGAGGCAUGCCAUUAUGUGAGGACUCACUGUAUUCCUUAAAUAACUUAAUAAUAAACUUGCACCAGUGUUUAAAAUACUUUUUGAAGCUUCAUUAGUUAAGGAUGAGUUACCAAGUGACUGGAACUGUCACUCCCCUAUAUAAAAACGAAGAUAUCAUUCAAUAAACGUUAAUACCAUAGCUUGUUAAAAAUAUUAAAAUACGUUGGCUUUAGUGGACUCUGGCUGGAUUUCUUGAUAGUGAAAGAAAAAAAACUGCAAUAAUAAAUAGCUCCAAAUUUUAAAGCUAUAAUAGUGCAAUAAUAAAUAUUUGAAAUUAAAAAUAGUUAAAAUUAACUUUAAUUAAAUUUUGUAAAAGAAAAAUAUUUUACACCAUUUUACAAAAGGUGUUAGUAGUGAAUAUUACUUGACAUUAAUUUUUCAAUUUAAAUACAUAUUUAAUAUUCUGUGACUAUACUAUAGGACAUUAAGAAGGUAUCUGUCUUUCCUUUUUUGAUUUGCUCAGGAGAUGACCCGAAAUGAUGCCUCUCCAGGAAUCUAACAAAGACAUGAUGGAAGCAUUAUAAAAGCUAGUGACAGUCCACAAAUGUAUUCUUACAUGGCUUGAAUGUUACAUGUUAUGUUGAGAAAGCAAAUUAAUUAUGAUGUAAAAAGGAAAAAAAAGUAAAAUUCCCCUUUCAGACCUUGCGAUGUAUUAGUCAGAUGAUGUAGUUAUUAUCUGUUGUUGUUUUUUGCACACAGUUACCAAGGGAGUCAUGUGGCCAGCACAAUGACCAACUUCCUUUGUUAUUCCCCGACUAAUGUAAGGUACCCAUUAGAGCUGGCUGAACUCAGUUAGAUCCUAAAGAUCCCAGUCUUCGCCAGGAUUCAAACCCAGGACCUCCUAUUCAAAAGCCAAGCGCUUUAACACUCAGUGUCAAGACCUUCUUCCACUAAUAUAUGUAUGUGUCAUGCUAAAUGUACCCAAGUCCUGGACAAUACCAUAAUGACACGUACAAUGACAAAAUAAGAUUCAGAAUGUCACUUUACCGACAUAUAACAUGUUUAAUUACAUUAUUUUCACUAUAAUACAGAAAAAUAGUUAGAGUCUACACUUAGACUAUAUAUAUCCAAAAAGUCCAACUGUCCUGGACUAGGAACAAAAACACACUGCCUUAUCAUGAGUUACAUUGUUCAACAAAACAUCUCACCAAAUAAAAACAACCCAAAACAAUAACAGUUUUGAAAUCAACCACCUGAAUUGCCCCCCUUCUCCUCUACAGUAAACAGGAGACCCAGGCUGACCAGAACUCAGUCCUGACACUCAGCUACUGCACCUCCUAUUUCUAAUGCAAAGAACAAAAAUUAUUUAAGACAUUUCGUGUGUGUCUUAGAAAAUAUUUUUUCUAAUUGCCUAUUCUUCCUUAUGGGAGAAUAUUUCAAUAUAAAGACUAAAGCAUUAUUAAUAUUUGGUAGUGUUAAUUUAUGCUUACAAAAAGGCAUUGAAGUGAGAAAGAGUGUGAGUCAAUGAAAUAUUAAAAUGAUUGUCAAGUUUCCUGUAUUAAAUAAUACUUAAAUUACUUUUAUAGUAGUUAGAAGACUAUGUAAUGUUAAAAUGUAGUUUGUUAUAAUUAUAAAUCAUUGUGUUAUAUUGAACAAAAAAAAAGAAGUUAUUUUGUAAUAUUACAGAUAAUUUUAGGUCUUUCUUGUAGCAAAUAUACUGCACUUUUAUCAUUUCUUCAGUAUAUUAUGUCAUUUAUUGAAUGAUAUUAAAGA